CAUUUCACAACUCCAUCAGAAAAAACAACAUAAUCUUGUCUUCAAAUGCCAAUAUUGGCCAUAAUGAAAAGCAGAAACAUUGGAGAUGUAAUAGCACAUAAAUGCAAAAUGAGAAAGGGGAAUUUUAAACAUAAAUGUCUAGAACAAGUAAUUAAAUGGCCUAUAAGGCCAUAAAAGACAUUCUCCACAAAAAUCCUUCGUAUAUUAUGACUCAUUGGACACCUAUUAUGAACAAGACAGAUCCAAAAAGAUUCAACA
rnacentral:misc_RNA from 1 species